AGAAAAGAAAAAUAAAGUAAAAUUACCUAAUUUUUUUUUUGUUUUCUUUUUCUUUCUUUUUUCUCUUUUCUUUUUUUUUUUCUAAAAAAGAAAAAGAAGAAAAAAAGGCUGGUGGCCGGCCGGCGAGAAGGAGGGAUCUUCGGCGAGGGUUCCGACGAGGAGGUUCCUGCAGAACAGGAGCUCGGGUCGCUGGUCAGAGGCGUCGCGGGCGUCGGAGCGGCGUCGGGGGGGUUCGGAUCUGGAUCUGGAUCGGGUCAGCGACGCUCGGGCGGAGACCUUGGGGCGCGGGCAGCGACGAGGCGGAGGCGGCGUCGGGGCGACGUGGCGAAAUCGGCGGACGGCGUCGCGGGUGGCACGGCGAGACUGGCGGGCGUCGUCAUGGGCGGAGCAGGAAUCGUUGAAUCACUGGGGGAAAACGGAAGCCGCGGAUCGUCGGAGCGAGGGCAGUGAUACAGGAUCGGAACCGGCGCGAAAUUGGAUCGAGUUCAAAGGCGAGGCGGCGUCGGUGCAGGAACGUGGGCUCGGGGUCUGCAGAGUGGUGAUGCGGCGUCCGGCGGUGGCGUCGGUGCAGCGAUCGACGGCCGCGGAGGCGCGGCUGGGUCGCGGCCGUGGCGGUGGG
rnacentral:lncRNA from 1 species